UACGUAGGGUGCGAGCGUUAAUCGGAAUUACUGGGCGUAAAGCGUGCGCAGGCGGUUAUGUAAGACAGAUGUGAAAUCCCCGGGCUCAACCUGGGACCUGCAUUUGUGACUGCAUAGCUAGAGUACGGUAGAGGGGGAUGGAAUUCCGCGUGUAGCAGUGAAAUGCGUAGAUAUGCGGAGGAACACCGAUGGCGAAGGCAAUCCCCUGGACCUGUACUGACGCUCAUGCACGAAAGCGUGGGGAGCAAACAGG
rnacentral:rRNA from 2 species